AUACGUAGGGGGCGAGCGUCGUCCGGAAUGAUUGGGCGUAAAGGGCGCGUAGGCGGCCCGGUAAGUCUGGAGUGAAAGUCCUGUUUUUAAGAUGGGAAUUGCUUUGGAUACUGUCGGGCUUGAGUGCAGGAGAGGUAAGUGGAAUUCCCAGUGUAGCGGUGAAAUGCGUAGAGAUUGGGAGGAACACCAGUGGCGAAGGCGACUUACUGGACUGUAACUGACGCUGAGGCGCGAAAGUGUGGGGAGCAAACAGGAUUAGAUACCCUGGUAGUCCACACUGUAAACGAUGAAUGCUAGGUGUAGGGGGUAUCGACCCCUUCUGUGCCGCAGUCAACACAAUAAGCAUUCCGCCUGGGGAGUACGGCCGCAAGGUUGAAACUCAAAUGAAUUGGCGGGG
rnacentral:rRNA from 1 species